GAAGAACCUCGAGGAGUGAAGAUUCUUAGAUUUUCCAGUCCUAUUUUCUAUGGCAAUGUUGAUGGUUUUAAAAAAUGUAUCAAGUCCACAAAUGGCAUCAUAAGUGAUGCUGGUUCAACAAAUAAUGCUUUUGAGCCUGAUGAAGAUAUUGAAGAUCCGGAGGAACUUGAUAUCCCAACCAAGGAAAUAGAGAUUCAAGUGGAUUGGAACUCUGAGCUUCCAGUCAAAGUGAACGUUCCCAAAGUGCCAAUCCAUAGCCUUGUGCUUGACUGUGGAGCUAUAUCUUUCCUGGACGUUGUUGGAGUGAGGUCACUGCGGGUGAUUGUCAAAGAAUUCCAAAGAAUUGAUGUGAAUGUGUAUUUUGCAUCACUUCAAGAACCAGGUGAAAUCUCAAGAGGGUCAAGAUUCCAUUUUAGAAACGAUCACCCUCAUUCAAGACUGUAAAGAUACCCUUGAAUUAAUAGAAACAGAGCUGACGGAAGAAGAACUUGAUGUCCAGGAUGAGGCUAUGCGUACACUUGCAUCCUGAAAGUGGGCUCGGGAGGUCUCCAUGAGCAAGGAAUACAAGACAAAACUUCCUCACUGCAUUGACUGUU
rnacentral:sRNA from 1 species